rnacentral:rRNA from 1 species
AAACGACUCUCGGCAACGGAUAUCUCGGCUCACGCAUCGAUGAAGAACGUAGCAAAAUGCGAUACUUGGUGUGAAUUGCAGAAUCCCGUGAACCAUCGAGUUUUUGAACGCAAGUUGCGCCCGAAGCCUCUGGCKAGGGCACGUCUGCCUGGGCGUCACGCA